rnacentral:rRNA from 1 species
UGAACGCUAGCUACAGGCUUAACACAUGCAAGUCGAGGGACAUCAGGAAGAAAGCUUGCUUUCUUUGCUGGCGACCGGCGCACGGGUGAGUAACACGUAUCCAACCUGCCCUUUACUCGGGGAUAGCCUUUCGAAAGAAAGAUUAAUACCCGAUGGCAUAAUGAUUCCGCAUGGUUUCAUUAUUAAAGGAUUCCGGUAAAGGAUGGGGAUGCGUUCCAUUAGGUUGUUGGUGAGGUAACGGCUCACCAAGCCUUCGAUGGAUAGGGGUUCUGAGAGGAAGGUCCCCCACAUUGGAACUGAGACACGGUCCAAACUCCUACGGGAGGCAGCAGUGAGGAAUAUUGGUCAAUGGGCGCUAGCCUGAACCAGCCAAGUAGCGUGAAGGAUGAAGGCUCUAUGGGUCGUAAACUUCUUUUAUAUAAGAAUAAAGUGCAGUAUGUAUACUGUUUUGUAUGUAUUAUAUGAAUAAGGAUCGGCUAACUCCGUGCCAGCAGCCGCGGUAAUACGGAGGAUCCGAGCGUUAUCCGGAUUUAUUGGGUUUAAAGGGAGCGUAGGUGGACUGGUAAGUCAGUUGUGAAAGUUUGCGGCUCAACCGUAAAAUUGCAGUUGAUACUGUCAGUCUUGAGUACAGUAGAGGUGGGCGGAAUUCGUGGUGUAGCGGUGAAAUGCUUAGAUAUCACGAAGAACUCCGAUUGCGAAGGCAGCUCACUGGACUGCAACUGACACUGAUGCUCGAAAGUGUGGGUAUCAAACAGGAUUAGAUACCCUGGUAGUCCACACAGUAAACGAUGAAUACUCGCUGUUUGCGAUAUACAGUAAGCGGCCAAGCGAAAGCAUUAAGUAUUCCACCUGGGGAGUACGCCGGCAACGGUGAAACUCAAAGGAAUUGACGGGGGCCCGCACAAGCGGAGGAACAUGUGGUUUAAUUCGAUGAUACGCGAGGAACCUUACCCGGGCUUAAAUUGCAGUGGAAUGAUGUGGAAACAUGUCAGUGAGCAAUCACCGCUGUGAAGGUGCUGCAUGGUUGUCGUCAGCUCGUGCCGUGAGGUGUCGGCUUAAGUGCCAUAACGAGCGCAACCCUUAUCUUUAGUUACUAACAGGUCAUGCUGAGGACUCUGGAGAGACUGCCGUCGUAAGAUGUGAGGAAGGUGGGGAUGACGUCAAAUCAGCACGGCCCUUACGUCCGGGGCUACACACGUGUUACAAGGGGGGGUACAGAAGGCAGCUAGCGGGUGACCGUAUGCUAAUCCCAAAAUCCUCUCUCAGUUCGGAUCGAAGUCUGCAACCCGACUUCGUGAAGCUGGAUUCGCUAGUAAUCGCGCAUCAGCCACGGCGCGGUGAAUACGUUCCCGGGCCUUGUACACACCGCCCGUCAAGCCAUGGGAGCCGGGGGUACCUGAAGUACGUAACCGCAAGGAUCGUCCUAGGGUAAAACUGGUGACUGGGGC